GGGAUGAAGGUCAGCAUCUGCUCUGUCAUUUGAAUUUGAUAUUAGAAAAUUUAAAUCUGAAAAGAGAAUCUCGAAGUGGGUAUCAGAAGAAGAGAAGAUGUGAGGGACAAAAGGAUAGGAUCUACAGUGCUGUUACAUCCUCACUGGCAUCAACAAUUUAGACUCAUCUCUAUAUCCAUGUGUAACUUGUUACAGUCUGCAGUCAUAAGCUGGCCUCAACACACUGAAGUAUAUUCAGCAUUAUAAACACACUGAAACACCAAAAAGGCUGAGAUGCACAUAAUUUGAAGAGUGAAAAUGGCUCGAGAGCAUGAAGUCUCAUUAUCUGUAGGUUCUCACCUCACUGAAGCAAGACUGGUAAAUAAGUUUUGAAGAUGAAGAUAAAACAGAAUAAAUUAAGGAAGAAAAAAAAGAAGAGGAAAAUCUCCCAAACUGGCCUGUCUUCAAUGUUCCUUUGAACUGUCUCUCCUACUGCACUCUUUACAUUUUAAUGACUUGAGUGUUUACCAUUUAUGCAGGAACAUACCCUUAAUGUGCUCAGAAGUGAUGCGUACCUUCUAUACAUGAGACAGACCACCCAGCAAAAUACCAAUCCAGCUUAGGGUCUGUGAAGUAUUAUCCAUUUGUCUAAAAUGUACUGUACUAAACCUUAUAAUACUUUGUUAGCUGGUUAUGUCAAAUUCUCAUUGUAAUAUAAAGAUUUAAGUAAAAUAUGAACAAAUUGACAAUAUCCAAUACCAAAAGGCCAUAAAAACCUUUUUCAGAAAUAUAACAGACUUACAGCCUUGCGUAGGUCAGCAAAAAUGGUAUGUACCAGAGCAUAGUUAUGAAAAUUUAAAGAAGUGUAUAUUUCUUCAUUUAUUCUGUACCCGUUCAACAUUGUGACAAGCAUAACAGAUUUACAAUUCUUACAUACUUUUUGCUAUAUUUCCCCUCUCAAUAUGAUGUCAUUCCAUUUUUUUUUACAAUUUUUACAAAUGAAGACAGAGGCAGCUUAUUAAGACCAACUACUCCCAGGUUUAUUUGUGAAGAAAGUAAGACUCACCUGUGCAGGUCCAGAAAUGUUUUAUUUUUCACAGAAGCAUUA